rnacentral:lncRNA from 1 species
UAAUUUCUACAAAGCCCCACUAAGAAUUACAAUGUAAGAUGCAAUGAAAAAGACACUGUAAAAUCCACUAAAAUGACACUGUAAAUCCACUAAAAUGACACUCCCAAACUUUACCAAAGUCAGUCAAAAAAGCAGCAGUAACAAAAAGGUGAAGAAGGGAUAAAUUGAGAUACAAGGAACAAAUGAUCAUUAACAAAAAAAGGACCCUUGAUAUAGAAUCAAAAAUCUGCUCAAAAUACGUACUGCAGAGUUACAGGCAUAAAGACAUGACACUACAAUCAAAAUGAAAAAACAUACAGACCACUACUAAAUCAAAAAUACUGAUAUGCUCAGAUUGCAUGCUACUUUGUUCAGAUUACAUGCUACUAAAAAAAGAACUCAGCCACCAUUUGUGCUAGGACCGCACACAUGUUUAACCUCACCCGGCAUUGCUUCUCCCUACACACAAAUAUUCAAAGAGACCCAGAAUGUUAGUAAAAGAAACAAGAGGCUAAAAAGGAGAAUAAGAAAAUGUAACAAAUGACAAGGAAAGUAAAGAACAUACAUCACGAUAGAAACCAGUUACGAAAGACUUGUCACAACUGUUCAUGGGGCUGCAAAACAUGUCAUUCGCAUAUCUGAUCCUAAGAUUUGGAAUGUCUGCACUGGAGAAAAAGUUUGCCAUCUGAGUUCUUGGUGUGAAUAUCUCCAUAUACUUAAAUGUGAAGACACCACAUUCAUGGCUGAAAAGAUAAAAAGAACACAAAUAAGAAAAAUAAAGCUUUCAUACAAAUCUGUAUAAAAAUUAAACAAGAACAUGAAAAGGCAGAAAAACUUAAAUACCGAUUAUCUUGCUUAGGGACAGCUGGGUACAACACAUGAAACUCUUCGAAGUUAAUCAUUUUCAUGUUAGAAAGAAAAUAAAGUACUAUUGGUAGAAUUAAAGUGCUUGUUACAAUGAAGAAAAUAAGACUAAAUCAUUAGAGCAAAGCAAAUGGAUUCUAGUACAAAUGGUUCUCAGAUUUACAAGUAAAACCACUAAGAAUUACGGUGUAAAACCCACUAACAAAGACAGUAAAUAGUUAGAGUGUAAAUCCAAUGAUAGUUACACAGUAAAAAUGCAAAAAAAAAGUGUAAAUCCAAAAAUGAGAAUUACACUGUAAAUCCACUAAGAUAUUACAGUGUAAAUAAUUUGAGAUUUACACUAUCAAAACAAGAUAAUUAUACUAGAUCAAACAAGACAAUUACAGUGUAAAAUCAUUUGAGAGUUACACUAAAAAAUUACAGUGUAAACACUAUGAGAAUCACACUGUAAUUACAGUGUGAAAAUUUAUAGUGUAAAUACUAUGAGAAUUACACUGUAAUCAAACAAGAUAAUUACAAUGCAAAAAAUCCACUACAAAUACCGUGAGAGAAACACUAAAAGAUAUUACAGUGAAAAUACUUUUAGAAUUACACUGUAAAUCCACUACGAGAAUUACAGUGUAAAUCCUUUGAGAAUUACACUGUAAAAUUCAAUAAGAUAUUACAGUGCAAAUACUUUGAGAUUUACACUGUAGCAAAACAAGAUAAUUACACUGCAUCAAACAAGACGAUUACAGUGUAAAAUCAUUUGAGAGUUAGACUAAAAAAUUACGGUGUAAAUACUUUGAGAAUUUCGCUGUAUCAAAACAAGAUAACUACAGUGCGAAAAAUACUAAAAGAUAUUACAGUGAAAAUACUUUGAGAAUUACACUAUAAAUCUACUAAGAGAGUUACAGUGUAAAUCCUUUGAGAAUUACACUGUAAAAUACAGUAAGAUAUUACAGUGUAAAUACUUUAAGAUUUACACUGUAUCAAAACAAGAUAAUUACACUACAUCAAACAGAUGAUUACAGUGUAAAAUCAUUUGAGAGUUGCACUAACAAAUUACAGUGUAAAUACUUUGAGAAUUACACUGUAUAAAAACAAGAUAAUUACAGUGUGAAAAAUCCACUACAAAUACUGUGAGAGAAACACCAAAAGAUAUUACAAUGAAAAUACUUUGAGAAUUACACUGUAAAAUCCAAUAAGAUACAGUGCAAAUUCUUUGAGAAUUACACUGUAAAACAAAGAUAAUUACAGUGUAAAAUACUUUGAGAAUUACACUGUAUCAAAACAAGAUAAUGACAGUGUAAAAAACCCACUAAAAAUACUUUGAGUGUUACACUAAAAGAUAUUACAAAAAACCAGAGACAAAGGCUGCUUCUUAAGAUGAGAGAGGAUCACAUUUACGCUGCAGCCACAUAGAUAAAAAAACUGCUUAUUAAGUAUUACUAGUGUUUCAAAAAAUCAUUGCAAACACACAUCAAUCCACACAAAAAUGCAAAAAGGCGGCCAGGUAGAUGCAAACCACACUUCAAACACCCAUUGGCAAAGGUCCGAGCAUGUAGACACAGGCUCAUAUCAGUCACCAACUUAUUUCAGAGCCACAAAGGCGAGCGAGACUCACCAAUAAAACCACUAAUAAGAUAAGGAAAACACAUUGCCAUGGCACUAAGAUUUACACAGUAAAACCACAAAAGAAUUACAGUGUGACUACACUGGGAUUUAUGCUGUAAAAAUACACUAGGAAUCAACCGAAGAUGCAUUCCAAAAUGCACUAAGAAUUACAUUGUAAAUCUACUAACGAAUUACACUGUAAAAAUCAUUUAAAUACAGUCAAAAAACACUAGGGAUUACACUGUAAACCAACUUACACAUAACCGAAUUUACAAAAGAAGAUACAAAAGCACUCGAAAAAUCACUGAAACUUACACAUUACUGACGCUUAACUGGUAAAAAUUCAGUCUCAAUCACUCUAAAAUUGCUCAAAAUUAACAGUACAACACACUAACAGAAACAACUGGCGUCAUACACACAUACAGUUCAAAACAUCUAGGAGCUCAUUCAAAUCAGUUACAUCCACGUAUCUAUGGGCUGUGCACAUAUAGGGGCACUGAACAACUGCAACCACAUUAGGGGAGCAGAAAAUUAAACGUAGACAUGGGCGGAAAUUGACCCCUACAACUACAUGGACCAGGCGUUGCUGCAUCUACAUCUACUGAGAUGUUGCUCCCUCUCCAUCAACAACCGAAAAAUCUAGGAACCACCACAAAACAACCUAAAAAGCGCUGGAUCCACCACCGCACAUGGGAACAAAAACGUCACUACGCCAGAUCUAGCAAAAUCCUAUAGAAAUUGCAUCGAAAUGAAGACAGGGGGGAGGAUAUUGGCAAAACAAACCUCGUUGGGGGAAGAAGGGAGACACAGGGCUCGGAGAACACCACAGCAAUAGGAGCAGCAGCGCGAAAUUAACAGUAGCAGAUGAGAUACCGCCGCGAAAUCACCAUGUGUCGACUUCCCCUCUUCCUCGACGCGCUUGCAGGAGAAGCAACAGGGGUAGGGGAAGGACGCCAACCACAGGCUCGCUCUUCGGAGAUCAGCGGCAGAGCUAACCACUCAAAUCGCCAUGGCCCUCUCCUCUCUGCCUCCAAGAUCUCGCCGUUCAAAAUGGGAAAGGGAAACAGACAAAGUCACCCGCCUCCAAGAUCUCGCCGUUCAAAAUGGGGAAGGGAAACAGACAAAGUCACCGCAUGAGAUAAUAGGAAAUUCAAAGAAAAAAAAAACCCGCUAGUACACGGACCUGUUCGGGAUUAACGGGUCUUCAGGGGCGUAGUUGCGGGCCCGGUAACAAAAAAACACCCGUGAGGCU